rnacentral:rRNA from 1 species
GGCUCAGAUUGAACGCUGGCGGCAGGCCUAACACAUGCAAGUCGAACGGUAACAGGAAACAGCUUGCUGUUUCGCUGACGAGUGGCGGACGGGUGAGUAAUGUCUGGGAAACUGCCUGAUGGAGGGGGAUAACUACUGGAAACGGUAGCUAAUACCGCAUAACGUCGCAAGACCAAAGAGGGGGACCUUCGGGCCUCUUGCCAUCGGAUGUGCCCAGAUGGGAUUAGCUAGUAGGUGGGGUAACGGCUCACCUAGGCGACGAUCCCUAGCUGGUCUGAGAGGAUGACCAGCCACACUGGAACUGAGACACGGUCCAGACUCCUACGGGAGGCAGCAGUGGGGAAUAUUGCACAAUGGGCGCAAGCCUGAUGCAGCCAUGCCGCGUGUAUGAAGAAGGCCUUCGGGUUGUAAAGUACUUUCAGCGGGGAGGAAGGGAGUAAAGUUAAUACCUUUGCUCAUUGACGUUACCCGCAGAAGAAGCACCGGCUAACUCCGUGCCAGCAGCCGCGGUAAUACGGGGGGUGCAAGCGUUAAUCGGAAUUACUGGGCGUAAAGCGCACGCAGGCGGUUUGUUAAGUCAGAUGUGAAAUCCCCGGGCUCAACCUGGGAACUGCAUCUGAUACUGGCAAGCUUGAGUCUCGUAGAGGGGGGUAGAAUUCCAGGUGUAGCGGUGAAAUGCGUAGAGAUCUGGAGGAAUACCGGUGGCGAAGGCGGCCCCCUGGACGAAGACUGACGCUCAGGUGCGAAAGCGUGGGGAGCAAACAGGAUUAGAUACCCUGGUAGUCCACGCCGUAAACGAUGUCGACUUGGAGGUUGUGCCCUUGAGGCGUGGCUUCCGGAGCUAACGCGUUAAGUCGACCGCCUGGGGAGUACGGCCGCAAGGUUAAAACUCAAAUGAAUUGACGGGGGCCCGCACAAGCGGUGGAGCAUGUGGUUUAAUUCGAUGCAACGCGAAGAACCUUACCUGGUCUUGACAUCCACAGAACUUUCCAGAGAUGGAUUGGUGCCUUCGGGAACUGUGAGACAGGUGCUGCAUGGCUGUCGUCAGCUCGUGUUGUGAAAUGUUGGGUUAAGUCCCGCAACGAGCGCAACCCUUAUCCUUUGUUGCCAGCGGUCCGGCCGGGAACUCAAAGGAGACUGCCAGUGAUAAACUGGAGGAAGGUGGGGAUGACGUCAAGUCAUCAUGGCCCUUACGACCAGGGCUACACACGUGCUACAAUGGCGCAUACAAAGAGAAGCGACCUCGCGAGAGCAAGCGGACCUCAUAAAGUGCGUCGUAGUCCGGAUUGGAGUCUGCAACUCGACUCCAUGAAGUCGGAAUCGCUAGUAAUCGUGGAUCAGAAUGCCACGGUGAAUACGUUCCCGGGCCUUGUACACACCGCCCGUCACACCAUGGGAGUGGGUUGCAAAAGAAGUAGGUAGCUUAACCUUCGGGAGGGCGCUUACCACUUUGUGAUU